GCUGAGAGCAUCCUCACUCGGUCGGUUCCUCGGGCGAGUUACGGGGACGACCUGCGGGAGCACGCGGGCAGUGGCCGGACGCUGAAGCCCAGGAGAGCGAUGGAGACCCUUCCUGUGCAUCGGUGGAUCUGCAGGGAGACAGCUCCUUACAGGUGGAGAUUUCUGACGCAGUGAGUGAGCGGGACAAGGUGAAAUUCACUGUUCAAACCAAGAGCUGCCUCCCUCACUUCGCCCAGACCGAGUUCUCAGUCGUGCGGCAGCACGAGGAGUUCAUCUGGCUGCAUGAUGCCUACGUGGAGAACGAGGAGUACGCCGGCCUCAUCGUGAGGAGGGGCCGGGCAGGGGCUGGGAGGGACAGGCAGAGCACUUGGGUGAGGACCAAAGGCUGUGAUGGCCGUCUCGGCAGUGAGAGGCCUCCCAGCUCCGUCCCUCCUUUGAGCAGAUCCCCCCAGCCCCUCCGAGGCCAGACUUUGAGGCUUCGAGGGAAAAGCUACAGAAAUUGGGCGAGGGGGACAGCUCUGUCACUCGGGAAGAGUUUGCCAAGAUGAAGCAGGAGCUGGAAGCGUGAGUGCCCCCUCCUUUCCCUGCCAUCCCCAGAGCCCAGAUGUCUUCCCCAGCUAUCCCCCCAUGAAUGUUUAGCGACCCUGACCUCUGACCCCAGAAAGGGAGCAGGCAGGAUGAUGGGGCUGAGGAGGGCCCGUGAGCCGCUGCCACUCUCGCAGGGAGUACCUGGCCAUCUUUAAGAAGACAGUUGCGAUGCACGAAGUCUUUCUGCAGCGCCUGGCGGCCCACCCCACCCUGUGUCGAGACCACAACUUCUUUGUGUUUUUGGAAUAUGGACAGGAUGUGAGCUGG
rnacentral:sRNA from 1 species